CGCACCUUGCACUCUUUGGUAUUCCGAAGAGUACGCCUGUUCGAGUAUCUUGAAACUAUCAAGCCUUGGUCUUUUAUUAGGCCUCGGAUUGGAUUUGGACUUUACCGUCUCCUAUUUACUGGAACGGUUGGUCUUAAAAGUAUUAGCUGAACCUUGAUUUGUGGGAUUGGUUCUUACUCAAUGUGAUAAUUUUACUGAUCAUUGAGGACAUUUGCUUAACUGCGAAUGGCCAGCUCUGCCUCGGAUCGCUUCUAAUCGCACUUUAAUGUUGCAACUUUUCAACUUUGAUCUCGAAUCAGGUGGGACUACCCGCUGAACUUAA
rnacentral:misc_RNA from 1 species